rfam:Larimichthys crocea isolate SSNF unplaced genomic scaffold scaffold32, whole genome shotgun sequence.
ACAAAGGCUCUUUUAAGAGCCACCUCACUCCUCACUAAAGAACUCAU